rnacentral:tRNA from 1 species
UCCGGCAUAGCUCAGUUGGUUAGAGCAGUGGACUGUUAAUCCACGUGUCCGAGGUUCGAGUCCUCGUGCCGGAGCCA